UGGGUUAGUAACUUAAUUGGUAAAGGGUUUUCUUGUCGAGAAAAUAGAUGCCGGAUCGAAACCGGUCUAACUCGU
rnacentral:tRNA from 1 species